rnacentral:rRNA from 1 species
UACGUAGGGUGCGAGCGUUACUCGGAAUUACUGGGCGUAAAGGGCGCGCAGGCGGCUCUGAAAGUCAGAUGUGAAAGCCCCGGGCUUAACCUGGGAAUUGCAUUUGAUACUCUGGAGCUUGAGUACGGGAGAGGAGAGUGGAAUUCCCAGUGUAGAGGUGAAAUUCGUAGAUAUUGGGAAGAACACCGGUGGCGAAGGCGGCUCUCUGGACCGUAACUGACGCUGAGGCGCGAAAGCGUGGGGAGCAAACAGG